UACGGGGGGGGCAAGCGUUGUUCGGAAUUACUGGGCGUAAAGGGCUCGUAGGUGGCCAACUAAGUCAGACGUGAAAUCCCUCAGCUUAACUGGGGAACUGCGUCUGAUACUGGAUGGCUUGAGUUUGGGAGAGGGAUGCGGAAUUCCAGGUGUAGCGGUGAAAUGCGUAGAUAUGUGGAGGAACACCGGUGGCGAAGGCGCUUUUCUAGCUUAGACCUGACGCUGAGGCGCGAAAGCAAGGGGAGCAAACAGG
rnacentral:rRNA from 1 species